CUUCCUGCAGCUCGCCGCCCGGCCUCCCUCUCUGCCCAUCCAAAGGGAACGAACCCCCGGAGUUUGCUUCCCCGGCUGCGGCAGAGUAACUAGAUGGUAAAUCACGGUGAUUGCCCACACCGUGCAGGAAUGUUUUGUUUUUUUUAAAAAAAAUAUGUUUGCCCUCCACUUCCAGGAGAGAUCAAAUGAAAUGGCAGGAGGGGAAGGAGCAAGGAGAGUGCGCUAGCUCCAGAUCGCGAUGGACCUCGCGUCUAUAAAUACGCAUUCGUGGUGGGUCAAGUCCCCUUUGUCAACUUCCCCGCGCUGGACCCUCACCCGCUGCCCCGUAGCCGUGCCGUGGGCCCCUUCUUGCCCUCACCCCGGUUUGCACACAGGAGAGCUGCUCCCGAGAGCGCGAGCGGGGCUUUGCGGGUGUGCGCGCGCGGAACCUCCUCGGAGGCGGCCGCCGCCUGCCCGGCGCUGGGGCUGGAGCGGGGAAAGGUUCCGUUUUUAAAGCGACCACCGCCUCCCCGAGCCGGGCUCGCGCCCGCACUGUAUCCACCUCCUCCUGGGGGGUGGUGCGGGAGGCAAGAAAAGUUUUCAGGCACUCUCCUCUCUGCCUCCGGGGUGGUUGAACUGGUUUUGUUUGGUGUGGGUGAAGCCAAAAAGCCCAGUGCCCAAGAACCAAGGAAUGAUAUGCGGCUAGAAAAAGGCUCCGCGCCGGGGUAGGACUCCUGCGCCACAGGAGUUGGCGCGUGAAGGCGAGAGAGAGACCCCCGAGUUACAUCCCGGCGGAAGGAACUCCGUAGGUAACGCCCCAGAAGAGGUGGGCUGAUCUUUCUACCGAUUUGCAUGCUCUCUGGCCUCAUCUCGGCGAUUUCUUUCAGACGCGCAUCCGUGGAGGGAGCCACGUCCCUGAGCACUCCCCGCAUUUCCCAGAGUGCAACACCACCACCGGGGAUCGAUGACCACAGUCUGUUUAUUCUUCUCGCGCCUGGGAGAGCAGGGCACUGAAGCAGCAUGGGAGGGAAGCUUAGGGCUUACCUGUCUGCGCGAUCCCUCCAGAUGUCUGGCUGGUUUCUCAAAGGCAGCUCAGCUCCUAAGCAAAUAUAGCUUCUUAAUGCAUGCAACACACACCGAUCGCAAUGUAUUCACUUAGAAAAGUGAUACAUCCUUUCUCCCACCCUUUGUAGAUUUGUUUCUUCCACCCUUUGUAGGUUUUUUUUUUUUUUCUGGGGGUGGAUUGCUAAUACCUGAGAUGUUGCACUUGUGUCGAGUGGAAACUUUCUGGGGUGUUUGCUGAUUGAUUAUUUGGUACCUGCUUUCUAAAACAGGCUAAACACCUUUCCUUAGAACAAAAGUGAGAAAUGCAAAUCUUAAUAACUCAAGGCAAAAAUUUCAAAGUGUAAGAACAGUUAUUAUCCACUCCCACAAAGAAAA